rnacentral:rRNA from 1 species
AUUGAACGCUGGCGGCAUGCCUUACACAUGCAAGUCGAACGGCAGCACGGGAGCAAUCCUGGUGGCGAGUGGCGAACGGGUGAGUAAUAUAUCGGAACGUGCCCAGUCGUGGGGGAUAACGUAGCGAAAGCUACGCUAAUACCGCAUACGAUCUAUGGAUGAAAGCGGGGGAUCGCAAGACCUCGCGCGAAUGGAGCGGCCGAUAUCAGAUUAGGUAGUUGGUGGGGUAAAGGCUCACCAAGCCGACGAUCUGUAGCAGGUCUGAGAGGACGGCCAGCCGCACUGGGACUGAGGCACGGCCCAGACUCCUACGGGAGGCAGCAGUGGGGAAUUUUGGACAAUGGUCGCAAGCCUGAUCCAGCAAUGCCGCGUGGACGAUGAAGGCCUUCGGGUUGUAAACUGCUUUUGUACGGAACGAAAAGACUCUGGUUAAUACCUGGGGUCCAUGACGGUACCGUAAGAAUAAGCACCGGCUAACUACGUGCCAGCAGCCGCAGUAACAC